rnacentral:rRNA from 1 species
UACGUAGGUGGCAAGCGUUGUCCGGAAUUAUUGGGCGUAAAGAGCUCGUAGGCGGCUUGUCGCGUCGAAUGUGAAAUCUCAGGGCUCAACUCUGACAUUGCAUUCGAUACGGGCAGGCUCGAGUUCGGUAGGGGAGACUGGAAUUCCUGGUGUAGCGGUGAAAUGCGCAGAGUAUCAGGAGGAACACCGGUGGCGGAAGGCGGGUCUGCGUGGGCCGAUGACUACGCUGAGGAGCGAA